ensembl:lncRNA
CGCUCGGAGCAGCUGGAAGCCCGCCAGCUGGAGCGCGGAGUCCGUGACGAAAGGUGAGCGCACCUUUGACUAGAAUGUGCAGUAAUUCCACGGAAGAAAGCAGGAAAGUUGGAAGUAACUCCACUGGAGUUGUUCAUCGGAUGUUCAAGAGCUCAUCUCUGGUGAAAGAGCUCCGGGAAUCGCAGCAGGAAACAUAAUUAACAACAAAAACAACAACAAACGAAGCGCACCGAAGCACCGUGGCGGCCAUCAACGGCGCCAACGUGCAUGAAAACAACGUUCUGCCUGAGUGGAAUACGGACUGCAGCCCAUCACACCAGUUUAACAUGAAGAUGAGAAGGACGAGCACCCUGGACAGCGCCUCAAGAGAUCAGCACCAAGGUCUGGGGCACCGACGAGCCAGAGGUCAGGAAGGGGACUGAAGGCCGAACAGCCUGUUGAACCGAGC